AUGCUGUCGCAUGGCAGUAUAAUCAAAGGAGAAAUCCGCUAUGAGAUGGACCCGCGGCGCAUUAGCUAGUUGGUGAGGUAACGGCUCACCAAGGCGACGAUGCGUAGCCGACCUGAGAGGGUGAUCGGCCACAUUGGAACUGAGACACGGUCCAGACUCCUACGGGAGGCAGCAGUGGGGAAUAUUGCACAAUGGGCGAAAGCCUGAUGCAGCAACGCCGCGUGAGUGAAGAAGGCCUUCGGGUUGUAAAGCUCUGUCUUUUGGGACGAUAAUGACGGUACCAAAGGAGGAAGCCACGGCUAACUACGUGCCAGCAGCCGCGGUAAUACGUAGGUGGCAAGCGUUGUCCGGAUUUACUGGGCGUAAAGGAUGCGUAGGUGGAUAUUUAAGUGGGAUGUGAAAUACCCGGGCUCAACUUGGGUGCUGCAUUCCAAACUGGAUAUCUAGAGUGCAGGAGAGGAAAGUGGAAUUCCUAGUGUAGCAGUGAAAUGCGUAGAUAUUAGGAGGAACACCAGUGGCGAAGGCGGCUUUCUGGACUGUAACUGACACUGAGGCAUGAAAGCGUGGGGAGCAAACAGGAUUAGAUACCCUGGUAGUCCACGCCGUAAACGAUGGGUACUAGGUGUGGGAGUUGUCAUGACUUCCGUGCCG
rnacentral:rRNA from 1 species